rnacentral:lncRNA from 10 species
CGAGAUUGCACCACUGCACUCCAGGCUGGGUAACAGAGUGAAACUCCGUCUAAAAAAAAAAAAGAAAGAAAGAAAGAAAUGUGUACCUUGUUAAGGCCACUGUUGCUUGGGGUUUCUGUCACUCUCAGCUGAACCUAAUGCUAACAAUGGUCCGGCCACUAAAGAUCAAAUUCCUGCAAAGAGCAUAGCUGGAGGCUGCAGCCCAUGUAACAACACCUUCUUUCCACCAACUACUCAAGACACUGCUGCUGUUCCUGGCUUCAUUUAUGUGGAAGUGUUAAAAGGCCCAGAGAGGGGAAAGGCGCUUUUUCCUUUUGUACCUUUUGAUUUUUGAAACAUGUGAAUGAGGCCGAAUGCAGUGGCUCACACCUAUAAUCCCUGCACUUUGGGAGGCUGAGGCGGGAGGAUUGCUUGAAGUCAAGAGUUCCAGACCAAUCUGGGCAACAUAGCAAGACCUUGUCUCUACAAAAAAAUAAAAUAAGAUUAGACAGCAGUGGUGCUGCAUGCCUGUAAUCCCAGCUGCUUGGGAGGCUGAGGCGGGAGUAUCAAUUGAGCUGAGGAGUUGGAGGUUGUCGUGAGCCGAGAUCAAGCCACUUCAUUCCAGCCUGGGCAACAGAAUGAGACCCUGUCUCACAGAAAAGAAAGAAAGGGAAAAGAACGGGAGGGGAGGGGGAGGAGAAGGAAAAGAAAAGAGAGAGAAAGAGAGAAAGAAAGAAAAAAAGAAAGAAAGAAAGAAAGGAAAGGAAAGAUGAAGACAAUGAAACAUGCAUGAAUUACCCAUUCAAAACAUAAAUAGCUGGAAAUAAAAACAAAAGCAAAAUGGAAGGGAAGAUAAACACAAAUUCAUGACAGGAAUUUUCUCAAAAUUGCAAAAUGGGGACUUCUCAGGCUGGAGGAAUAAGGGAACAUCAACUUUAUCUGUAACACUUUACAUAUUUUGAUUAGAAAAUAAGACAAGAAGAACAAUCAUCACCUCUGAGUGAUAGGUACAUUUAUAUAUAAAAAUUUAUAAAUUUAUAAAUCUAUUAAUAUGUAUAAAUAUUUGAAUCUUAUAUAAAUGUGUAUAUAUCUUAUAUAACAAUAGUAUAUAUUAACAAUAUAAAUACAUAUAAUAAAGCAUAA